ACCGGGCUUGGUAGCGCUUGCUUGUAACUCAAGCGAGGGUCUUAAAGAUGGUUGGACUGUGACUCAGCCUAGUCAGGUUAGUUCCGUUGGAGCAUAAAUCGACUUGCCCGUUCCAAGUAGUGAGUUGAACCAUGUGGCUUGAGCGAAGGCUUUGGUCACGUGGUUCCUAACUGCGUAAGGCUGGCUUCACAGAGCUGCGAACACCCCUCACUCAUGACAGUGGAAGGAUAACAAGUCGGGGCUCCAUGGAUCCAUAAGAAUCUACCGGGUUGUCUCAAAUGAACAACCUUCUUUUUU
rnacentral:SRP_RNA from 1 species